rnacentral:rRNA from 1 species
UACAGAGGGGGCAAGCGUUGUUCGGAAUUACUGGGCGUAAAGGGCGCGUAGGCGGCCUGCUAAGUCGAACGUGAAAUCCCCGAGCUCAACUCGGGAACUGCGUCCGAUACUGGCAGGCUUGAAUCCGGGAGAGGGAUGCGGAAUUCCAGGUGUAGCGGUGAAAUGCGUAGAUAUCUGGAGGAACACCGGUGGCGAAGGCGGCAUCCUGGACCAACACUGACGCUGAGGAGCGAAAGCCAGGGGAGCAAACGGG